rnacentral:sRNA from 1 species
GUAAAGAUAAAAUAGGGCUAUUUUAAACCUCACUAAGAAUAGGAUUAGAGGUCAGAAUUGUGAUUUAUUUAGUUCUUUGGGACUUGAACACCAUUGUCAUCAUUGUAUCUUUGUGUGUAAUUGUAAGCCUAUUUAAGAUUUUUAUUAAAACAUUUUUCCUGAAAACCACUUUAUAAAAUAAUGAAUGUAUGUGUGAUUAUCAUCACAAUUGUAGCACACCUUUCAUGGCAUACCCCUCAAAGGUGCAUUACCCGUUGUUUUUUUCUUAGCUGAAAAACCUUGCUUCUGUGUCAUUCUUCAGGUGCAGGCAACCAUAGAUAUUUUAUGGGCUACCUAUUCUUCUUGCUUUUUAUGAUCUGCUGGAUGAUUUAUGGUUGUAUAUCUUACUGGGGACUCCACUGUGAGACCACUUACACCAAGGAUGGAUUUUGGACAUAUAUUACUCAGAUUGCCACGUGUUCACCUUGGAUGUUUUGGAUGUUCCUGAACAGUGUUUUUCACUUCAUGUGGGUGGCUGUAUUACUCAUGUGUCAGAUGUACCAGAUAUCAUGUUUAGGUAUUACUACAAAUGAAAGAAUGAAUGCCAGAAGAUACAAGCACUUUAAAGUCACAACAACAUCUAUUGAAAGCCCAUUCAACCACGGAUGUGUAAGGAAUAUUAUAGACUUCUUUGAAUUUCGAUGCUGUGGCCUCUUUCGUCCUGUUAUCGUGGACUGGACCAGGCAGUAUACAAUAGAAUAUGACCAAAUAUCAGGAUCUGGGUACCAGCUGGUGUAGCAACAUCUUUAUCCUAUGAAGCAUAUUGCUGAGUGGUGCCUGAAAAUUGUGUCUGUCCAUGUCUCUCUCACACUCGAAUCCACAUCCUUUGAACAAGAGCAUGCUAUGUGUAGGGCUAACGGUGAAUUUUACAGUCUUUUUUUCAACACUUUUAUUAACAAAAGUAAACAUGGACAGAACACACUGCCAUUUCUGGAAAGAGUAAAGAUGAUAAAAAAUAAUGGUUCUUAAUGUGGAAAUUCACAACAUACUCAACUUUUGGGUUUUGUUCUCACAGUAUUUUUCACAAAAAAAAGGGUAAACUUAUUCUGUUGACAGACAUGGUGUACUGAUCAGAAAUGUUCAGUUUUAACUAAAACUAAAUUUAUGUUAUUUGGCUAAAUGUUAUGAUGCAGUCUAGUAG